AUGGGGCGGCCUCCACAGCUCUCCCUCUCCAGAGGGUCCCACGGCGGCCAAGACCCGCUAAGCUUCCCUUUGUACUGCUUGGCAUUAGGGAAGAGUGUCCAGAGUGCCCUGAGGCGUCUGCCUUUCCCCAGCAGGAACCUUUCCAAGGUGUCUUGUGACCCGGGAGGCCCGUGUGCUUGCCCUUUGCCCACAAUGAAUCACUGGGCACGUGAGGCUAUCAACAGCCCUAUCAAAGAGGCCCGGUGGAAUCCGGCCUCCCACAAAAUGGCACAAAGCUGCAGCCGCCGGACGCCCAGGGGCUCUGCCGAGUCCUCCCCGACACUGGGAUACUAAGGAGACCCCGACAGACAGCAUCAGCUCAUAGGAAGAUGGCCCCAAUGCUGGAGACACUAGAGGGGCCACCUUCCCCAAGCCCUGCCUUUGAAGAUGGGGAAACUGAGGCCCAAGGAGACCAGGCGAUUUGUCCCAGAUCAUACACUAGAAAGGGUCAGAGCUAGGACCCCAAAUUGCCUCACUGCCCUUUAGAAGUCUGUAGGGUAAAAAAUGAAAAAAGAAGACGUGGACUCGAGGAGAAGCUUUAUCCAGUCUGGGAAUCGCUGGGCCCCUCCCAUGGAAAUCACUGGCAAUUCCAACCUGACAAAUGGUCGCGUGAAUGGUGAAGACAGUCAUCAGGGGUGGCUCUGGAAGCUUUCUGUCCUCCGGCACGAGCAGACCCUCGAGCUGGCUGGCCAGCCGCCCAGUUGGGCCGCACCGCUGGCUGCAAGGCCGGCCCUACCCGUUUCUCUCCCUGUUUUUCAGGGCUCCAGUCCAGUCGAAUGACCUCGACAAGGGCAGCAUUAAGGGCCUGAGAUCAUCUGUGCGUCCUCUGAGUCUGGCUUGGCCAGUGGAGGAACACUUGACUUCCUGUUUUGAAGUUAUUCAUUGAGUUCUCUUGGCGAGCCAGCGCACUCCCGCCCUGCCCUUUAACUGGCUCCUUUGUCCUCUUGCCAACAGCCACAUGCACUCACUUCCCCCGGAACCUUUCCCAGAGAUGCUGGGCUUUGUUUCGGAGACGCUUUCCCUCCCGAGGGCAAAAGGACAAGGCAGCCCCCAGACAGCCCCUUCCAGCCUGGCAGUAGGCGCUCUCGGACCAUCAUCCAGGAGUUAGCAGGAGGGGAUGUCCAGCUGCUAAGGGGCACCCCAGACACAGUACAACCAGCUGUGCCGUUUCUCCCCCACCUUUCCCACCAUUCCGUGCUCUCCCAGAGCUGCUUCAAAGCAAAGAAGGGAUGAGCUGCGCUUGCGGCUUGACAACUGAGUGUGCAGUCAGUGUACAUCAGGUGCACAUCCCUCC
rnacentral:lncRNA from 1 species